AUGUGAUCGUCUCUCGCAUAUCAAUAAGCGGAGGAAAAGAAACUAACAAGGAUUCCCCUAGUAACGGCGAGUGAAGCGGGAAGAGCUCAAAUUUGAAAUCUUAAAGGGUUUCCCUUUACGAAUUGUAGUUUAAAGAAGUGUUUUCUGUUGAGGUUUUGGUAAAAGUUCUUUGGAAUAGGACAUCAUAGAGGGUGAGAAUCCCGUAUUUGACCUUUACUUUCAACUUUGUGAUACACUUUCAAAGAGUCGGAUUGUUUGGGAAUGCAGUCCAAAAUGGGUGGUAAAUUUCAUCUAAAGCUAAAUAUUGGCGGGAGACCGAUAGCGAACAAGUACCGUGAGGGAAAGAUGAAAAGAACUUUGAAAAGAGAGUUAAACAGUACGUGAAAUUGUCAAAAGGGAAGCGUUUGACACCAGUGUUGUUUUCCUGAAAAUCAAUUAAAGAACUGUUUAUGCUAAGUUGUUUAGACUUUAUCAGCUAACUGUUUAGUUUUGAGCUUUUCUUUAAUGCACUUUUCAGUUAACAAGUCAACAUCAAUUUCUUUUGCUGUAAAAAAGCUUGAGGAAGGUGGCUUGAGAUUCGUCUUAAGUGUUUAUAGCCUCUUGCCUAUGCAGUCGGAGAGAUUGAGAGCUGCAGCGUAGAUCCUUCGGGGCUAAAUGCAUUUGUGCUAAGUUAUAGCAUUUUAUAGACAACUUGUUGACUAUGAUUUGUCUUGUAGCUUACUCGCUUAUGUUAUUUUACCUACGCUUAGGAUGUUGAGUAGCGACAUACGCAC
rnacentral:rRNA from 1 species